ACAAUCUUGGAGCUCCUACAUGACAUGAUGGAAGUGGCAGCAGGACUGAGACACCAUGUCAUCACCAACAGAACUUCACAUUUCAUCUGUUACACCUUAAAAAGAAAAAGGAAUGAAAACCAUAAAGGAGGCAGACUGGGGCAGCAGGACAGAUGGAAAUAACCAGCAGUGACUGUGUGGCUUCGGCUCUCUCUUUCCCUGAGCUGUGCCCUUGGCCCAGUUAAGGAAUCAUGGGAGCUGCUCAAUAGUCACCAGCUGGACUGGGGCUCCAGUGACCCUGGACUUCAUCUCACGUCUGUGAGGAAACAGCCAGCGUGACAUUAACUUGAUUGUUGUGGAGUUCAUACCUCAAUCUGCCACUGCAAAUGAUGG
ensembl:lncRNA